ensembl:lncRNA FAM27C family with sequence similarity 27 member C
AGUGCUUGGGUGUCGAGGCUCUGAGGCUCCGGCCUCACCUCUCCACGGGGUCGAAGGGAACGUCUCCGGAUGCCAGGAGUCGCAAAGGGCCGACCAUGAUGAUGAAACCCCAGGCAGAGACGGGGGAAGCAGCACGGGAUCCCAGCCUCAGGCCUGCACGGACGGUGUUGGUUGGGAGACGAGGUCUCACUAUAUUGACCAGGCUGGUCUUGAACUCCUGGCCUUAAGCGAUCCUCCUGCCUUGGCCUCCCAAAGUGCUGGAGUUACAGAUGUGAGCCUCUGUGCUCAGUCCAUCCUUGGCUGUUCAAGUGUAGAGCCAAGAAUGUUAAGGAACGUGGACACAAAGGAUGAGGUUGGAACAGAAGUUUAAUAUGCAAAAGAAGAAAGCUCUCCCCAGCGGAGGGGGGACCCGAAAGAGGGUUGCCAACUAGGAGGCUGAAUCUGGGGGUUUUGUGAACUGGGAAGGGGAAGAAUGUGCUCACUAGUCUGUGAGCUGUCUUGGAGAAAGCACAACUUCGCUUGGCCCGGGACCUUAGCUUGGGACCAACCAGAGGCUGAAGUGAAAUUUUGGCCCAAGAACAAUCAGGGGCUGAAGUGAAAGUUUGGCCCAGGACCAAUCAGGGGCUGAAGUGAUGAUUCAUAGAGGCUUGGCUCACAGUCCAAAGCAUGUCCAGAAAAGGAAAGUGGUCACCAGAGCCUGUUAGUCCAAGCUGCACCGAUUUGUAAGCCCCCACCGUUUCACAGACCCUGGUCAGAGGGAAACAUUCCACUGGGGUUUGGGCUGCGAGAAACAUCCUCCCCAACCGCCUGACUUCCUUAUCACAUCCUGCUGGGGAAAGGCCCAAGAAACAUCCUUAUCAACAUUCUCCCAGGCAACAAGCUAUACUGCCCAGAUCCCUCCUGCCCAGGCCUAUAAUUACUCCAGCCUGUAAGCGGCAGUGGGCUCUGGCAUUUAGUUGGUCCCCUCCAUAGAGCCGCCAACUCUCUCUCUUUCUUUAACCUUCACCUUCCCUUCAAAAUCUAACAGAGCCCACCAUAUACAUGCCCACAAAAAAGCGACUAUUUCCUGGAAGCCCGCUGGUCACACAAAGGACAAAGGCAUUUCUAUGUUGGGCCUCGGUCCCUUAUCAAUGCAGCUGAGGAAUGUCUUUAGGACAACCCCCUUUGCUAGUUUUCCUUCUCUGUGCCUGCAGCCUGAUUUUUCAGGCUGUUUCUCUGUUGAAAGGAGUUUUACCAAGGACCCGCUCUAACUCCCUAAAGGGUUUUUUCUCUCAAGGGGACACACAAAUUUCCAAUCGCACACAUGCCUCCCUAUAUCCACUUACCCUCUGCCUCACAGCCAAUCACACUCUCCUCUCUCACACAGACCACGGGGCCACACAAGUUGCACCUGCACAGCCACAGACCUGCAACUCAUGCACACACAGUACUGCACACACACGCAAAGUCACACACCCACCCUGGGACACGCAGCCCCCACUACACAGUCACCGGUUGUCCACAUCCGCACACACAACGCGGCUCGUCCAGGACACACACAUCCACUCCGAGCGCGCACAGUCACAAGCGCCCACCUGAUCACCCAGAGUCAGCACCACACAGCCACAGUCACAGACCACGAAGACCCACGGCAACCAUCGCAAUCACACACGCAAACUCCUCUCCUCAGCCCUCCACACACAAAAGGACCAGAGCCGGAUUCCUCAUCCUCAGCUUUCUCUAGUUCCGCUCGGGGCCGGCCUGGCCAAGUUACUCCGGACUCCAAGGCGUGGCAGCAGCUAAUUGGGCACAGCGAAAGAUUCUGCCACCUGGCUAAGAGGAAGCCAAAAUCUCGCGAGACAUGGGACACGGCUUCCCCUGAACGCGGAUCCUAGAGGCCAGGCAGAAGCAGCAUGGGUUUCCACUCACACGGUAGGCGGCUGUGCAAUUUCGUCUGGAGUCCCCAGACCCCUCCUCAUCCUUCCCAGGGUUGCUCUGAGGCCAUUCCUUGUCAUCUAGGAGGGGUCUACAUAAAAGCAUUUAUAAACACCUCCAAAUGGGAGCCAGGCGUGCCCACCUUUGGAGCACUUUUCUCUACUGCAAAUUUAUCUACUGCUCGUGAAAUCUCUGGAUUUAACUCUGAUGAAAGACUGGAGGCUGAAGGAGAACUUCAAUAUCAUAUAUUUUAAAGGUUGAUUCACAGUUUGGAGCAAGAAUUAAAGAACCACGAACUUCAAGGUAAAACGGGCAACGGCGUUGGGGCAAGCCUCUCUGCAUCUGCGUGUCCAGCCUCUCCUGCGUGCCAGAAGUUCCCAGGCAGGAGUGUGGUGGGACAUCCGGCUGGGGUAAGGACAGGCACCCUCCCACUGUGUCAGGGCCCAGAGAGUGGGUGGAGAAGCUCUGCAAGAGACCUGUGCAAGGGCGCCUUGCAGGAGCCUGCAGUCCCCACAGGUGUGUUUGUGGAUAACACUUGGGGAGCCCUGGCCUUUUGGGGUCACGGAGGGCUUGGCCUCUCACCUCAGAGCUGCAGAGAAGCCGCUUCUACAUCAGGACAUCAGAAGCUGGAACAGGAUGGCCGGCGAGGGGCCUCUUGUUGGGGUCACAGAGAUGGGUCGCAGAGAUGGCCCGUGUGGAAGGUUGGAUUCUCACCCCACCUCUGCCCCUAGAUGUCCUGGUGACCCUCCCCUCUGUAGUCUUGGUUUUUUGCAAAAC